rnacentral:rRNA from 1 species
CAGCAGUCGCCGCGGGAAUACGAAGGAGGCUAGCGUUGUUCGGAUUUACUGGGCGUAAGGCGCACGUAGGCGGAUCGAUCAGUCAGGGGUGAAAUCCCAGAGCUCAACUCUGGAACUGCCUUUGAUACUGUCGAUCUGGAGUAUGGAAGAGGUGAGUGGAAUUCCGAGUGUAGAGGUGAAAUUCGUAGAUAUUCGGAGGAACACCAGUGGCGAAGGCGGCUCACUGGUCCAUUACUGACGCUGAGGUGCGAAAGCGUGGGGAGCAAACAGGAUUAGAUACCCCCGUAGUCCCUGUCUCUUAUAU